rnacentral:rRNA from 1 species
GGCAGACCGCGAACACGUGUUUAACGCAGCCGCCGACGCGUCGAGGGGCCACGCCUCCCCGCCGCGGCCGCGGCACCCCCGCACGGCGCGCGCUCGCGUGGGCCGUGCGGGCUAACGAACCCCGGCGCGGUACGCGCCAAGGAAAACGGAAACGGAGCGCCCUCCCCCGUUGCUUCGGCCGGGUGGCAGGAUGCGCCUCACGCAAUAAGUCAAAACGACUCUCGGCAACGGAUAUCUCGGCUCUCGCAUCGAUGAAGAACGUAGCGAAAUGCGAUACUUGGUGUGAAUUGCAGAAUCCCGUGAACCAUCGAGUCUUUGAACGCAAGUUGCGCCCGAAGCCUUCGGGCCGAGGGCACGCCUGCCUGGGCGUCACGCAUCGCGUCGCCCCCUCCCCCCGCUCCAACGGAGCGGGCGGGCCGGGGUCGGAGACUGGCCUCCCGUGUGCUCCCGUCGCGCGGCCGGCCCAAAUGCGAUCCCUCGGCGGCGCCAGUCGCGACCAGUGGUGGUUGAACCGUCAACUCGCGUGCUGUUAGUCGUGCGCAGCGGCGCCGUCCGGUCGGGCAUCACCGCGACCCAGCCAGCGCCUCGGCGCUUCCGACCGCGACCCCAGGUCAGGCGGGAUUACCC